rnacentral:rRNA from 1 species
UACGGAGGAUGCAAGCGUUAUCCGGAAUUAUUGGGCGUAAAGCGUCCGCAGGUGGCUAUGUAAGUCUGCUGUUAAAGAGUCUAGCUCAACUAGAUAAGAGCAGUGGAAACUACAAGGCUAGAGUACGUUCGGGGCAGAGGGAAUUCCUGGUGUAGCGGUGAAAUGCGUAGAGAUCAGGAGGAACACCGGCGGCGAAGGCGGGUUGCUGGGCCGACACUGACGCUGAGGCGCGAAAGCCAGGGGAGCGAACGGG